rnacentral:rRNA from 1 species
GUGGCGAACGGGUGAGGAACACGUGAAGAAUCUGCCCUCCACUUUGGGAUAACCCCGGGAAACCGGUGCUAAUACCGAACAUUGAAAUAUAAGUGGCAUCACUGAAUUUUGAAAGAAUUUCGGUGGAGGAUGACUUCGCGGCCUAUCAGCUUGUUGGUGAGGUAAAGGCUCACCAAGGCGACGACGGGUAUCCGGCCUGAGAGGGCGACCGGACACACUGGGACUGAGACACGGCCCAGACUCCUACGGGAGGCAGCAGUGGGGAAUAUUGGGCAAUGGACGAAAGUCUGACCCAGCGACGCCGCGUGAGGGAUGAAGGCCUUCGGGUUGUAAACCUCUUUCAGUAGGGAAGAAGCGAAAGUGACGGUACCUAAAGAAGAAGCACCGGCUAACUAUGUGCCAGCAGCCGCGGUAAUACAUAGGGUGCAAGCGUUGUCCGGAAUUAUUGGGCGUAAAGAGCUCGUAGGUGGUUAGUUACGUCGGGUGUGAAACUCUGGGGCUCAACCCCAGACCUGCACUCGAUACGGGCUAGCUAGAGUUUGGUAGGGGAGACUGGAAUUCCUGGUGUAGCGGUGGAAUGCGCAGAUAUCAGGAGGAACACCAAUGGCGAAGGCAGGUCUCUGGGCCAAUACUGACACUGAGGGGCGAAAGCGCGGGGAGCGAACAGGAUUAGAUACCCUGGUAGUCCGCGCCGUAAACGGUGGGCGCUAGUUGUGGGGACCUUCCACGGUCUCUGCGACGCAGCUAACG